rnacentral:lncRNA from 1 species
GCCCUCCAACAUUUUUCACCCUGUACUUCAUAUUCCUAGUGCAUGUCCUAUGUCACACCUUGUUUGGAUUAUCAAGUUUAAAUAUAUGAUAAAGUGAAAAAAUAACACAUGGUAGAAUUUUCAUUUAUGCAGUAAGAAGCCAUCCACGAUCCAUAUCAGCUCUCGGGCAGACUACCAUCUUGCUGAUAUUCUUCGUUUUGGU